rnacentral:lncRNA from 1 species
AUUGUCCACUGAAUUUAUUUGAUAAAGACAUACUGUUAGGAGCAAGCAAUAUGCACACACAAAUGUUGGUAUGUUUGCUGUUCUUCAUGUUUGAAAUUUCUGCAGGUAAGACUUCAGUUUAUUUUUCUUCAUGUCAAAGAAUGAUUUAUUUGUGAACUGGCGUAUACUAAAUUUAGUCCUGGUAUCUAUGAUGAGUUAAUAUACAUAACCUAAACAAAGAAAAGAUAAUGGUUAAUGAAAUAAGUGUUUAAUGAAUGAAUAAAAACUAAUUUAGUUAGGUUUGUGGUUUAAUAUUUUCAACGAUAUUUUGUAUUGAUGCGAGUUGAAAUAUUGUGAUGGCAUCAGCAGAGAAUUUUAUCCUUUUAAAUCUUAGAUGUGUUUCUAAAAGUGAGUUUCAUUGAUGUCAGGUGAAUUGUUAAGAAAAGAAAGUAACUUCAGAUAUAUAAACACGUCGAUUAAACAGCUGAACUAAACGUUUCCAUCUUUACCUUCCUUAAUGUAGGAUGACAUUAAUACAUAUAUAAUGUAAUGAUAGAACUCAUUAUCAAAAUAGUUAAAAAGAACUCUUAACUCAAUAGGCUUUAAACAUGACAAACACAGAAAUAGGAUCAGUUGCUCAUUUUUUCAUGUUCACAUAUUAUAUUUUCCAAUAUCAUCAACUUCAAAUUAUAUUUUCCAAUAUCAUCAACUUCAAAUUUCAGGCAUCACGGAGUUUCCAUGCAAAUUUCCCUGUGAAUGGCGCAACAAAACAUUUAAUAUCUAUAGACAUGGACGAUUAAUUUACAAAUGGAAAUUUAGUAGUGAUGGUGUAGUGUUUGUUUUCAGUCCUAUCAACAUAAAUACUGAUAAAUUUAAAAGAUAAACCCCAAAAGUACAUACAUGACAAUAGAAUUAAUUAGAUUUUCUAUCUUUAUAUCACUGGCAUGUUGUGAUUUAUCUGAUAUAAAAGUGCGGAAAAAUGCUAUAUUAGACAAUGAGGCAACUUGUGUUCAAACUUCCUCAGCCAAAGUUAUCACCUGUUUACUUUUUUGUCCACGGAAAUUUCGGAGUUAAUAUGGCGUAUACAUGUAGUGCACGCCCGUCUACAUGUAAUGUUUGGUCUGCCACCAACUGUAUUAAGAUAGUCCAAUGUAGUAUUUGUAGUUUGGCAAGGUAGCAUAUUUCAGUAAAAAGAUAAAAAAGAUAAAAAUAAUUAAUGUAUUGAAAGUUUUUUCAUGUUCACAUAUUAUAUUUUCCAAUAUCAUCAACUUCAAAUUAUAUUUUCCAAUAUCAUCAACUUCAAAUUUCAGGCAUCACGGAGUUUCCAUGCAAAUUUCCCUGUGAAUGGCGCAACAAAACAUUUGAUAUCUAUAGACAUGAACGAUUAAUUUACAAAUGGAAAUUUAGUAGUGAUGGUGAAACAAGUAUUGUUGCUGACUCUUCUAUAGUGCUGUGUCAUCAAAUAACAGAACGCUUUCUUAUUAUCAGG